AUAGCGUAUAUUAAAGUUGUUGUGGUUAAAAAGCUCGUAGUUGGAUCUCAGUUCAAGUCAGGCGGUCCACUUGCCAGUGGCUACUGCUUGACUGAACACUUUAUCGAGUUGUCCUAUGGUGCUCUUCACCGAGUGUCAUAGGCGAUCGGUACGUUUACUUUGAAAAAAUUAGAGUGCUCAAAGCAGGCGUAACGCCCGAAUAAUGUUGCAUGGAAUAAUGGAAUAGGACCUCGGUUCUAUUUUGUUGGUCUUCGGAAUCUGAUGUAAUGAUUAAGAGGGACAGACGGGGGCAUUCGUAUUGCGGCGCUAGAGGUGAAAUUCUUGGACCGUUGAAAGACGAA
rnacentral:rRNA from 1 species